CUUUAUCUUGUUGUCGCCGAGAUUAAGAACUUGAAGAGAAAAGAAGAGGGAGGGAGAGAGAGAACACGGCAGGGGCAGAGAGAAAAUAUUGGGAGAAAAAGAUUUAAAGUGAGACAGAGAGAGUACAUUUGGAAGUGACGCCGUUGCAGUUAAACUUUGACAGUUCAGUAGUCAUUUUUUUUUAUUUAUUUUGAUUCAUAGUUAUAAUUUUUACUCUACGACAACUACAGUUUAAAAGAUAAAACACCUCACUUUUAAAUACAUUCAAAAAAUAUUAAAAUUUUUAAAUAUUUAAUUUUAAUAUAUCUCAUUUAUUAAUU
rnacentral:lncRNA from 1 species